AACGAACGCUGGCGGCAGGCUUAACACAUGCAAGUCGAACGAAGCCUUCGGGCUUAGUGGCGGACGGGUGAGUAACGCGUGGGAACGUGCCCUUUGCUACGGAAUAGUCCCGGGAAACUGGGUUUAAUACCGUAUAUUCUCUACGGAGGAAAGAUUUAUCGGCAAAGGAUCGGCCCGCGUUGGAUUAGGUAGUUGGUGGGGUAAUGGCCUACCAAGCCCGCGAUCCAUAGCUGGUUUGAGAGGAUGAUCAGCCACACUGGGACUGAGACACGGCCCAGACUCCUACGGGAGGCAGCAGUGGGGAAUCUUAGACAAUGGGGGAAACCCUGAUCUAGCCAUGCCGCGUGAGCGAUGAAAGCCUUAGGGUUGUAAAGCUCUUUCGCUGGGGAAGAUAAUGACGGUACCCAGUAAAGAAGCCCCGGCUAACUCCGUGCCANCAGCCGCGGUAAUACGGAGGGGGCUAGCGUUGUUCGGAAUUGCUGGGCGUAAAGCGCGCGUAGGCGGAUUGGAAAGUUGGGGGUGAAAUCCCGGGGCUCAACCCCGGAACUGU
rnacentral:rRNA from 1 species